UGAACGGUCCCUUACUAAAUAAACGGCAGCAAUAAGGCUAAGAACUAAAACGCUGCAUAAUAAAUAGGUGAACGACAUAAAUCAUGUUCAUGAAAAAUAGUCACUUGGAUGUAAGCGUCCUCGUUGUUGUCCAUCUGUUGAGAACGCAAAAGUUUACAACACGAAAACAGACAAAAAUAUUGACUUUCGAGGGCCACGUUUCCGAUCAGGAACUAGCAUUUCGCUUACUUGAAUAUCCUGUCCCAAACUUCUAAACGUUCUAACCCCAAUAGUCCUCCGUCCUACGGACAUCGCAUUAAAAAUAAGUUUACGUAAUCCUUUUUUUGGGAGGUAGGGAGGGUGGAAUGAGGAAGAGAUUUCACUUUCUCCAAACUUUCAAGCAGCCAGUGCUUUUUUUCCUGCUGAAAGUCAGAUUUUUGAAUAAAAGAUGAACUGCUUUUUAUACGCUCGAGGUGAAACAUUAAUUUUGAACGAAAGACGCCGUUUUAAAAUAGUGAGUGGAACUCCCUUGCCGCUUCAAAAAUCUCAUCGCAUAUUUACUUUAUUAGCACGUGUCGGCAACACAGACGACAGAAAGUUUAAGCAUGGUAUGUAAUAAGAAAACAAGCAUGUUCUUCAACAGUGUAAUUGUGACUUAAAUUGCGAACGAAAACUGAAACAUGAGGAAAAAUGAGACGUGCCUAUUGUGUAGCAGUGACAGAUGCUGUUGGACGCAAAAGUAACACUGUAUUUCAUGCCAGAAAAUAAGCGAUAGGGCUGUACAAGCUGAAGGAAAUUUCAAAUGUCAGUAUAGCUACUACAGACUGAAAACGUGAAAUAACUACUCACUCUAUAUCCUUAAUAAGAUGCAUAUUUUGUAUUACGUGUAUAAAUAAAAAGCACUCCGUGGCCAGUCGAAACUGAAAGCGUAUGCGGGGCCAUGGCUCGAAAGUCUGAUAGCUUGCGUGUCAUUGUUAUUUUGAAGGUGCCUCCGUUUUAGCUGCUAGAGGCUAGAAAUUUGAAUUUCUUUCUGAUUUGAAUAUCUCAACGAAUGACAAACUCCUUGAAGUACUUGUUGUGAUCUGACAAGCUGUACCAGGUUUUUAGAGUUUUUUUUUCUCCCACAUUCCUAAAGGAAAUUAGUGCGAUCAAGUAAACGAUUCAUCUUUGGACUAUAUCGUACUUAGAAGGGGCAAGGAACUCUUGAAACAGUAAGUUUAAGCAUUGUUUGUCUUGCGUCAUACAUAUUACGUUUAAUACUGUAACAAUGAAGGGAUAAUUUUAAUGUUCAGUGUAAAAAAAUACGCUUUAGAAAGCAGUCCUCGAUGACUUUCAGUUUCAUGUGCGCUGAUCUUCGUCUGUGGUUUUUCUUGCUUGUGUUCAUUUUGUUUGUGACUAUCAAUUUCGCACGGCUGUCUUAGCUUCUGAUUAGCAGCGACAUGUGUCUAUCUUUGUGUGUGACCCACAGCCUUGGGCGUUUUUACCAGUGAUCUUCAGAUUUCCGCGUUUAGUUUUGUCUCUGAAUUGGACGUUUUACGCCUAUCUUUGUCUGUGAAAAAGACUUUUAGUUUUGCGUGUUCCUGUAGAUCUGGGGCUUUCAGUUUUUUUCUGCCCUAUCUUGGUCUUGACAUCGUGCUUCUAUAUCAGCUUGGAGUUUUAUGCAAAAACAGACUUAUAAAAUAUUACUGGAUGAGGUUUAUGUGAUAUCCAGAAUAAUCAAGGUCGAGUUAGGGGUUAUCACAUAAACCGAAUCUACUAAUUGUGAGUUUAAUGUAUAACAAUUAAAGGAAUACACGUCUUGAAUAAAUUUUUUGAAGGUUUUC